ensembl:snRNA U6 U6 spliceosomal RNA
GUGCUUACUUUGGCAGCACAUACACUAAAAUUGGAACAAUAUAGAGAUUAGCAUGACCCCUGCACAAGGAUGACAUGCAAAUUUGUGAAGUGUUCCAUAUUUUU